CUCUCUGCUACUUAAAGCCCCCAUGUGAGACAGAGACUGUCCAACCUGAUUGUCUUGCAUCUACUCUAGCGCUUAACACCCAGUGACCUCUUAAAUGCCAGAAUUAUAAUGAAGAGCAAUGCUAAAAUUGGAGAAUUCUGAGCUGCUGAGGGAUGAUGACUUGGCUAGGUUUAAAAUUGAUGGAGAAUUUGGUGAACCUAAAGGCACCUCCACUCCUUUCAUCUUGGUCUUAAAGCGCAUGAACCUCAUUGCUAGGAAAUUGCUGAGGUGAAAAAGCACACUGGAAAUAACACUGAAAAAAGGACAUCAAGCUGGUUCUUGGACGACUUCUAGAACUGGGCAACGGAGCAAGAUUCUCCAAUGCUAAUGCAUCUUAGGCCCUUUGGAAAUAAAAAUAUUUCUUGACAGCUUAUUUUAUUGUAACCAUUCACGAAUUUCCAUUGUUUCAACAAAUCCAUCAGAGGUAUUUUACUGAGCACUGACUGUGUGCAGAGCAGUGUACUAAUCUCUUGGGAGAGGACAGUAUGCUAGAGUUGGCAGAGGGGCUCCCUGUUCAUCACCUUCAUCUCAUCAAUGGUAUUUGAGUGCUUACUGUGUGCAGAGCACUGUACUAAGCACUACAGAUAGUACAAUACGACAGAGUUGAUAGACACGUUCUCUGCCCACAGCGAGCUUACGGUCUAGAGACGGGAGACAAACAUUAAAAUGGAUUUUAGGCAGGGGAAUUAGUAGAACCUGUGACACAGGGUUGUCCUGGGGUGGGUAGGGGGAGGCCUGGUUAAUCUCUGCCAUAGGUUACUCCCUAUAAGUGGGGGGGAAAAAAAACAGAGAAGCAGUAUUUGCUAGAGGAAAGAGCAUGGGCCUGGAAGUCGGAGGACCUGGGUUCUAAUUCCCACUCUGCCAACUGCUUGCUGUGUGACUUUGGGCAAGUCACCAAAUUUCUCUGUGCCUCAUUUCUCCUGUUCUCCCACCUACUUUGACUAUGAGCAUCAUGUGGUAGAGGGACUAUAUCCACCCUAAUUCACUUGUAUCGACCCAGCACUUAAAAUCCUCCCCUUGAUUCUAUUUAUUGCCAUUGUUCUUGUCUGUCCGUCUCCCCCGAUUAGACUGUAAACCCAUCAGAGUGCAGGGAUUGUCUCUGGCUGUUACCAAUUUGUACAUUCC
rnacentral:lncRNA from 1 species